rnacentral:rRNA from 1 species
CCUACGGGUCGCACCAGUGGGGAAUAUUGCACAAUGGGGGAAACCCUGAUGCAGCAACGCCGCGUGAGUGAUGACGGCCUUCGGGUUGUAAAGCUCCGUCUUCAGGGACGAUAAUGACGGUACCUGAGGAGGAAGCCACGGCUAACUACGUGCCAGCAGCCGCGGUAAUACGUAGGGGGCGAGCGUUGUCCGGAUUUACUGGGCGUAAAGGGAGCGUAGGCGGAUUUUUAAGUGAGAUGUGAAAUACUCGGGCUUAACCUGAGUGCUGCAUUUAAAACUGGAAGUCUAGAGUGCAGGAGAGGAGAAGGGAAUUCCUAGUGUGCGGUGAAAUGCGUAGAGAUUAGGAAGAACACCAGUGGCGAAGGCGCUUCUCUGGACUGUAACUGACGCUGAGGCUCGAAAGCGUGGGGAGCAAACAGGAUUAGAUACCCCCGUAG